GCUAGCUACAGGCUUAACACAUGCAAGUCGAGGGGCAGCAUGGUCUUAGCUUGCUAAGGCCGAUGGCGACCGGCGCACGGGUGAGUAACACGUAUCCAACCUGCCGUCUACUCUUGGACAGCCUUCUGAAAGGAAGAUUAAUACAAGAUGGCAUCAUGAGUCCGCAUGUUCACAUGAUUAAAGGUAUUCCGGUAGACGAUGGGGAUGCGUUCCAUUAGAUAGUAGGCGGGGUAACGGCCCACCUAGUCUUCGAUGGAUAGGGGUUCUGAGAGGAAGGUCCCCCACAUUGGAACUGAGACACGGUCCAAACUCCUACGGGAGGCAGCAGUGAGGAAUAUUGGUCAAUGGGCGAGAGCCUGAACCAGCCAAGUAGCGUGAAGGAUGACUGCCCUAUGGGUUGUAAACUUCUUUUAUAAAGGAAUAAAGUCGGGUAUGGAUACCCGUUUGCAUGUACUUUAUGAAUAAGAAUCGGCUAACUCCGUGCCAGCAGCCGCGGUAAUACGGAGGAUCCGAGCGUUAUCCGGAUUUAUUGGGUUUAAAGGGAGCGUAGAUGGAUGUUUAAGUCAGUUGUGAAAGUUUGCGGCUCAACCGUAAAAUUGCAGUUGAUACUGGAUAUCGUGAGUGCAGUUGAGGCAGGCGGAAUUCGUGGUGUAGCGGUGAAAUGCUUAGAUAUCACGAAGAACUCCGAUUGCGAAGGCAGCCUGCUAAGCUGCAACUGACAUUGAGGCUCGAAAGUGUGGGUAUCAAACAGGAUUAGAUACCCUGGUAGUCCACACGGUAAACGAUGAAUACUCGCUGUUUGCGAUAUACUGCAAGCGGCCAAGCGAAAGCGUUAAGUAUUCCACCUGGGGAGUACGCCGGCAACGGUGAAACUCAAAGGAAUUGACGGGGGCCCGCACAAGCGGAGGAACAUGUGGUUUAAUUCGAUGAUACGCGAGGAACCUUACCCGGGCUUAAAUUGCAGAUGAAUUACGGUGAAAGCCGUAAGCCGCAAGGCAUCUGUGAAGGUGCUGCAUGGUUGUCGUCAGCUCGUGCCGUGAGGUGUCGGCUUAAGUGCCAUAACGAGCGCAACCCUUGUUGUCAGUUACUAACAGGUUCCGCUGAGGACUCUGACAAGACUGCCAUCGUAAGAUGUGAGGAAGGUGGGGAUGACGUCAAAUCAGCACGGCCCUUACGUCCGGGGCUACACACGUGUUACAAUGGGGGGUACAGAGGGCCGCUACCACGCGAGUGGAUGCCAAUCCCCAAAACCUCUCUCAGUUCGGACUGGAGUCUGCAACCCGACUCCACGAAGCUGGAUUCGCUAGUAAUCGCGCAUCAGCCACGGCGCGGUGAAUACGUUCCCGGGCCUUGUACACACCGCCCGUCAAGCCAUGGGAGCCGGGGGUACCUGAAGUGCGUAACCGCGAGGAGCGCCCUAGGGUAAAACUGA
rnacentral:rRNA from 1 species